GUAGUCCUGGCUGUAAACGAUGUCGACUUGGAGGUUGUGCCCUUGAGGCGUGGCUUCCGGAGCUAACGCGUUAAGUCGACCGCCUGGGGAGUACGGCCGCAAGGUUAAAACUCAAAUGAAUUGACGGGGGCCCGCACAAGCGGUGGAGCAUGUGGUUUAAUUCGAUGCAACGCGAAGAACCUUACCUGGUCUUGACAUCCACGGAAGUUUUCAGAGAUGAGAAUGUGCCUUCGGGAACCGUGAGACAGGUGCUGCAUGGCUGUCGUCAGCUCGUGUUGUGAAAUGUUGGGUUAAGUCCCGCAACGAGCGCAACCCUUAUCCUUUGUUGCCAGCGGUCCGGCCGGGAACUCAAAGGAGACUGCCAGUGAUAAACUGGAGGAAGGUGGGGAUGACGUCAAGUCAUCAUGGCCCUUACGACCAGGGCUACACACGUGCUACAAUGGCGCAUACAAAGAGAAGCGACCUCGCGAGAGCAAGCGGACCUCAUAGAGUGCGUCGUAGUCCGGAUUGGAGUCUGCAACUCGACUCCAUGAAGUCGGAAUCGCUAGUAAUCGUGGAUCAGAAUGCCACGGUGAAUACGUUCCCGGGCCUUGUACACACCGCCCGUCACACCAUGGGAGUGGGUUGCAAAAGAAGUAGGUAGCUUAACCUUCGGGAGGGCGCUUACCACUUUGUGAUUCAUGACUGGGGUGAAGUCGUAACAAGGUAACCGUAGGGGAACCUGCGGCUGGAUCACCUCC
rnacentral:rRNA from 1 species